UACGUAGGGUGCGAGCGUUGUCCGGAAUUAUUGGGCGUAAAGAGCUCGUAGGCGGUUUGUCGCGUCUGCUGUGAAAAUCCGGGGCUCAACCCCGGACUUGCAGUGGGUACGGGCAGACUAGAGUGUGGUAGGGGAGACUGGAAUUCCUGGUGUAGCGGUGAAAUGCGCAGAUAUCAGGAGGAACACCGAUGGCGAAGGCAGGUCUCUGG
rnacentral:rRNA from 1 species